rnacentral:rRNA from 1 species
AACGAACGCUGGCGGCAUGCCUAACACAUGCAAGUCGAACGAAACCUUCGGGCCUUUGGGCGCACGGGUGCGUACCACCUGGGAACCUGCCCGUAGGUUCGCAAUACCUCCCCGAAGGGGGUGCUAAUACCGGUGAAUGUAUUCGGACCAAGGAUUUAUCGCCUUUGGAUGGGGCCGCGUUGGAUUCGCUAGUUGGUAGGGGAAAAGCAUGCCAAGGGGACGAUCCAUAGCUGGUCUGAGAGGAUGAUCAGCCACACUGGGACUGAGACACGGCCCAGACUGGUACGGGAGGCAGCAGUGGGGAAUAUUGGACAAGGGGCGCAAGCCUGAUCCAGCAACGCGGCGUGAGUGAUGAAGGGCUUAGGGUUGUAAAGCUCUUUUAGCCGGGAUGAGAAUGACAGUACCGGGAGAAGAAGCUCCGGCUAACUACGUG